rnacentral:tRNA from 1 species
UCCCUGGUGGUCUAUGGUUAAGACUCUGUGCUUCUACUGCAAGAGCCCUGGGUUCCACCCCCGGUUGGGGAA